UUCUCGUAGCUUGCUGCUGUGAUGGUCUGUCAGUCUGUAUAGUAUCACUACUGAUGAGCAGCAUGACUGUCUGUCUAUACCCUUGUCUUUUCGCACCCUAUUUCCUCAGCAGGUCUAUACUUGCUGGCCGGACCACUUUAUAUAACUCUUGAAUAUUCAAUCAGCGUCUGAAAAACUUAAUAAUUACAACUUUCAACAACGGAUCUCUUGGUUCUGGCAUCGAUGAAGAACGCAGCGAAAUGCGAUAAGUAGUGUGAAUUGCAGAAUUCAGUGAAUCAUCGAAUCUUUGAACGCACAUUGCGCCCCUUGGUAUUCCAUGGGGCAUGCCUGUUCGAGCGUCAUUUGUAUCCUCAAGCUUAGCUUGGUGUUGGGUGUUUGUCUAUGCUUGUAUUUAGACUCACCUCAAAGUAAUUGGCAGCUAGUGUCCUGGUAUAGAAGUGCAGCACAUUUUGCAACUCUAGCCUAGAACACUGGUGUCCAGUAAGCUUCUCCACUUUUGACCUCGGAUCAGGUAGGGAUACCCGCUGAACUUAAGCAUAUCAAAGGCGGGGGAGGAA
rnacentral:rRNA from 1 species